CCCUUAGAUGUCCUGGGCCGCACGCGCGUUACACUGAUGCAUUCAACGAGCUUAUAACCUUGGCCGAGAGGCCUGGGCAAUCUUGUUAACGUGCAUCGUGAUAGGGAUAGAUUAUUGAAAUUAUUAAUCUUGAACGAGGAAUUCCUAGUAAACGCAGAUCAUCAAUCUGCAUUGAUUACGUCCCUGCCCUUUGUACACACCGCCCGUCGCACCUACCGAUUGAAUGGUCCGGUGAACCCUCCGGAUCGGCCCGCGCCAACGCAAGUUGAGCAAAGGCCGAGAAGUUGGGUAAACCUUACCAUUUAGAGGAAGGUGAAGUCGUAACA
rnacentral:rRNA from 1 species